GCUUGGUUGGUACGUUGGUAGUGCGUCUGCCUUGUAAGCGCUAGGCCGCGGGUUCGAUUCCCGCCCGGGGCG
rfam:Asian citrus Psyllid, Diaphorina citri - Florida Strain, whole genome shotgun sequence.